GUCGAGCGACAGACGAGGAGCUUGCUCCUCUGACGUUAGCGGCGGACGGGUGAGUAACACGUGGAUAACCUACCUAUAAGACUGGGAUAACUUCGGGAAACCGGAGCUAAUACCGGAUAAUAUAUUGAACCGCAUGGUUCAAUAGUGAAAGACGGUUUUGCUGUCACUUAUAGAUGGAUCCGCGCCGCAUUAGCUAGUUGGUAAGGUAACGGCUUACCAAGGCAACGAUGCGUAGCCGACCUGAGAGGGUGAUCGGCCACACUGGAACUGAGACACGGUCCAGACUCCUACGGGAGGCAGCAGUAGGGAAUCUUCCGCAAUGGGCGAAAGCCUGACGGAGCAACGCCGCGUGAGUGAUGAAGGUCUUCGGAUCGUAAAACUCUGUUAUUAGGGAAGAACAAAUGUGUAAGUAACUAUGCACGUCUUGACGGUACCUAAUCAGAAAGCCACGGCUAACUACGUGCCAGCAGCCGCGGUAAUACGUAGGUGGCAAGCGUUAUCCGGAAUUAUUGGGCGUAAAGCGCGCGUAGGCGGUUUUUUAAGUCUGAUGUGAAAGCCCACGGCUCAACCGUGGAGGGUCAUUGGAAACUGGAAAACUUGAGUGCAGAAGAGGAAAGUGGAAUUCCAUGUGUAGCGGUGAAAUGCGCAGAGAUAUGGAGGAACACCAGUGGCGAAGGCGACUUUCUGGUCUGUAACUGACGCUGAUGUGCGAAAGCGUGGGGAUCAAACAGGAUUAGAUACCCUGGUAGUCCACGCCGUAAACGAUGAGUGCUAAGUGUUAGGGGGUUUCCGCCCCUUAGUGCUGCAGCUAACGCAUUAAGCACUCCGCCUGGGGAGUACGACCGCAAGGUUGAAACUCAAAGGAAUUGACGGGGACCCGCACAAGCGGUGGAGCAUGUGGUUUAAUUCGAAGCAACGCGAAGAACCUUACCAAAUCUUGACAUCCUCUGACCCCUCUAGAGAUAGAGUUUUCCCCUUCGGGGGACAGAGUGACAGGUGGUGCAUGGUUGUCGUCAGCCGUGUCGUGAGAUGUUGGGUUAAGUCCCGCAACGAGCGCAACCCUUAAGCUUAGUUGCCAUCAUUAAGUUGGGCACUCUAAGUUGACUGCCGGUGACAAACCGGAGGAAGGUGGGGAUGACGUCAAAUCAUCAUGCCCCUUAUGAUUUGGGCUACACACGUGCUACAAUGGACAAUACAAAGGGCAGCGAAACCGCGAGGUCAAGCAAAUCCCAUAAAGUUGUUCUCAGUUCGGAUUGUAGUCUGCAACUCGACUAUAUGAAGCUGGAAUCGCUAGUAAU
rnacentral:rRNA from 1 species